GAUGAACGCUAGCGGCAGGCUUAAUACAUGCAAGUCGAACGAAGUCUUCGGACUUAGUGGCGGACGGGUGAGUAACACGUGGGAACGUGCCUUUAGGUUCGGAAUAACUCAGGGAAACUUGUGCUAAUACCGAAUGUGCCCUUCGGGGGAAAGAUUUAUCGCCUUUAGAGCGGCCCGCGUCUGAUUAGCUAGUGGGGGAGGUAAAGGCUCACCAAGGCGACGACCAGUAGCUGGUCUGAGAGGAUGAUCAGCAACAUUGGGACUGAGACACGGCACAAACUCCUACGGGAGGCAGCAGUGGGGAAUCUUGCGCAAUGGGCGAAAGCCUGACGCAGCCAUGCCGCGUGAAUGAUGAAGGUCUUAGGAUUGUAAAAUUCUUUCACCGGGGACGAUAAUGACGGUACCCGGAGAAGAAGCCCCGGCUAACUUCGUGCCAGCAGCCGCCGUAAUAC
rnacentral:rRNA from 1 species